rnacentral:rRNA from 1 species
CAGUAGCCGCGGUAAUACGUAGGUGGCAAGCGUUGUCCGGAAUUAUUGGGCGUAAAGGGCUCGCAGGCGGUUUCUUAAGUCUGAUGUGAAAGCCCCCGGCUCAACCGGGGAGGGUCAUUGGAAACUGGGAAACUUGAGUGCAGAGGAGGAGAGUGGAAUUCCACGCGUAGCUGUGAAAUGCGUAGAGAUGUGGAGGAACACCAGUGGCGAAGGCGACUCUCUGGUCUGUAACUGACGCUGAGGAGCGAAAGCGUGGGGAGCGAACAGGAUUAGAUACCCGGGUAGUCCCUGUCUCUUAUAU